GAUAUGCAGCACGGAUGAAAAUGGCAAGUUCCCUGGCCUUUCUUCUGCUCAACUUUCAAGUCUGCCUCCUCUUGGUCCAGCUGCUCACUCCUUGCUCAGCUCAGUUUGCUGUGCUUGGACCCCUUGGGCCCAUCCUGGCCAUGGUAGGUGAAGACUCUGAUCUGCCCUGUCACCUGUUCCUGACAGUGAGUGCAGAGACCAUAGAGCUGAGGUGGAUAAGUUCCAGCCUAAGGAGGGUGGUGAAUGUGUAUGCAGAUUGCAAGAAAAUGGAAGACAGCCAGAGUGCAGAGUAUUGAGGUAGAACUUCGAUUCUUCAGGAUGGCAUCACUGCAGGGAAUACUGCUCUCCCAAUAUACAAUGUUACAGCCUCUGAUAAUGGAAAGUACUUGUGUUAUUUCCAAGAUGGUGACUUCUAUGAAAAAGCCCUGGUGGAGCUGAAGGUUGCAGCACUGGGUUCUGAUCUUCACGUUGAAGUGAAGGGUUGUGAGGAUGGAGGAAUCCAUCUGGAGUGCAGGUCCACUGGCUGGUACCCACAACCCCAAAUACAGUGGAGCAACAUCAAGGAAGAGAACAUCCCGGCUGUGGAAGCACCUGUGGUUGCAGAUGGAGUGGGCCUGUAGCAUUAGCAGCAUCCGUGAUCCUGAGAGGCAGCUCUGGGGAGGGUGUAUCCUGCAUCAUCAGAAAUUUCCUCCUCGGUCUGGAAAAGACAGCCAGCAUUUCCAUCGAAGAUCCCUUCUUCAGGAGCACCCAGUCCUGGAUCGCAGCCCUGGAAGGGACCCUGCCUAUCUCGCUGCUGCUUCUUGCAGGAGCCAGUUACUUCUUGAGGCAACAGCAGAAGGAAAAAAUUGCUCUGUCCAGGGAGACAGAAAGAGAGCGAAAGAUGAGAGAAAUGGGAUUAUGCUGCCACAAAGCAGGAAAUAAGCCUAAGAGAGAAGCUCCAGGAAGAACUCAAUGGACACCUCCUCAAACUCUCUGCAGCAUAUGUGAUUCUGGAUCCAGACAUGGCAAACGCCAUCCUUCUUGUUUCUGAGGACCAGAGGAGUGUGCAGCCUGCUGAGGAGCCCCAUGACCUACCAGACGACCCUGAGAGAUUUGAAUGGCGUUACUGUGUGCUUGGUGUGAAAACCUCACAUCAGGGAGACAUUACUGGGAGGUGGAAGUGGGGGACAGAAAAGAGUGGCAUAUUGGGGUGUGUAGUAAGAACAUGGAGAGGAAAAAAGGUUGGGUCAAAAUGACACCAGAGAAUGGAUACUGGACCAUGGGGCUGACUGAUGGGAAUAAGUAUCAGGCUCUCACUGAUCCCAGAACCAACCUGAAACUUCCUGAGCCCCUAAGAAAGUGGGGAUCUUCCUGGACUAUGAGACUGGAGAGAUCUCAUUCUACAAUGCCACGGAUGGAUCUCAUAUCUACACCUUUCUGCACGCCUCUUUCUCUGAGCCUCUGUAUCCUGUAUUCAGAAUUUUGAUCUUGGAGCCCACUGCCCUGACCAUUUGCCCAACACCAAAAGAAGUAGAGAGUUCCCUGGAUCCUGACCUAAUGCCUGAUCAUUCCCUGGAAACAUCAGUGACUCCGGGCUUAGCUAAUGAAAGUGGGGAGCAUCAGGCUGAAGUAACAUCUCUGCUUCUCCCUGCCCAGCCUGGAGCUGAGGGUCUCCCCCUCCACAACAACCAAUCAGAACCAUAAAGCUACAGGCACACACUGAAGCACUUUACUGAUAUUCAUUCGAUUAUUCCAUAGGACAGUUGCUUGAGUUUGGUGCCACCUUAUUGUCCCCUUUAUGCAAAUAAGGAGACUGGGGUGUAGAAAAGUGUAUUGACUUUACAAAGUAGACAUGACGAGUGAACGACAGAGCUGGGAUCUGAACAACAAUAACUAACAUUAAUUGAGAACUUAAAAUGUUCUGAGUGCUGUGUUAUGGGCUUCGGUGAGUGUCAGUCCUUUAAUCCUCACAACACCCCAUUGGGUAGUCUCAUUUUGCAAGUAUGAAAGCUGAGGCAGGGCAACAUUAAGUAACUUACAUAACUCAUACGGUAAUUUGUGCAGUUGGGAGAUGGUCAGCCUCAGUCCCUGGCUAAUUGCCCAUUCUUUUCCAGCCUGAUUUUUCCCCCUUGGGAAGAACCUCCAUGUAGCCCUGAGGUUCCCUUCCCAGGGCAGCUCCAGGAUAGAGAUCACUGUGGGUGGUUGUGGAGUUGACACAUCUAUUGACUCCUUCCCAGCUAAUUGUCAGAGCCUUAGACCCAGCAGUCCUUGGAGUGGCUCUGCAGAGUGUCUUUGUUGAGAGAAUAACGUUAUAGUUCCCACAUGGCCUGUGACUUGGAAAGAGACUAGAGGCCACACUCAAUGGGGCACAGAUGUGUGCCCACCCAACAAAUGUGAUAAGUGAUCGUGCAGCCAGAGCAAGGCUUCCUACAGUCAAGAUUUCUAGGCAGAACAAAUACCCUAAAUAUCCUCUGUGAUAUAAGUAAUUUGGAUGAAGGAAGCUAGAAGAAUUACAGGGAUGAUUUUAAUCCCGCUAUGGACUCAGUCUCCUGGAAAAGGAUCUGUUCACUCCUGAUCAUUGGUGGAUGUUAAACCCAUAUUUCUUUCAACUGAUGCCUGCUAGGGAAAACUGCUCCUCAUUAUUAUCACUAUCAUUGCUCACCACUCUAUCCCCUCUACUUGGCAAGUGCUUGUUAAGCUCUAGUUGUUCAAUAAAUGUGUUAAUAAUGCUGA